GACGAACGCUGGCGGCGUGCUUAACACAUGCCAGUCGAGCGGUAAGGCCUUUCGGGGUACACGAGCGGCGAACGGGUGAGUAACACGUGGGUGAUCUGCCCUGCACUUCGGGAUAAGCCUGGGAAACUGGGCCUAAUACCGGAUAUGACCUCCUAUCGCAUGGUGGGUGGUGGAAAGAUUUAUCGGUGCAGGAUGGGCCCGCGGCCUAUCAGCUUGUUGGUGGGGUAAUGGCCUACCAAGGCGACGACGGGUAGCCGACCUGAGAGGGUGACCGGCCACACUGGGACUGAGACACGGCCCAGACUCCUACGGGAGGCAGCAGUGGGGAAUAUUGCACAAUGGGCGAAAGCCUGAUGCAGCGACGCCGCGUGAGGGAUGACGGCCUUCGGGUUGUAAACCUCUUUCAGCAGGGACGAAGCGCAAGUGACGGUACCUGCAGAAGAAGCACCGGCUAACUACGUG
rnacentral:rRNA from 1 species